CUGGCUGAGCUGUCAAAAAACAGAGCAGUCCUGCGACAAACAUGACAGUUGGGAGGAUGCAGUGUCACGGGGUCGUUGUUCAAGCUGCAGUUUAAGCAUCCCGUUUGGAAAUAAAAAUUGGCCUCUGCUGUUUAUCUUCCACUCUGACUUCUAGACUGCUGCUCGGUUGUUGGCAUGUUUGGCCAUAAUGGUGUUUGUAUCCAGCAAAGCUCCUGUACAGAAAGAAAAGAAGUUGGAGGAUAUGGCACCAUCUUGGAUUUAAUUUGCCUGUAUGCUUCUUCGCCGGGUGCUAUAAAACAAUGUCAAUUGGAGACACGCAUCUUUCUUUUUCCUUUAGCCAUGAGGGGGCCCUCUGCGAGGAAGGUUUUUGAUGUGCAUGUGCCAGUGGGUGCACUGAGUAUACAGCCUUAUUGCCAUGAUGGAGGUGCCCAGAAUGACCAUUAUAAACAGAAUCUCCAUCCUGUUACCCAGUGUAAGAAUGCUUGGUGCAGGAGCCAUGCCCGCUGG